rnacentral:misc_RNA from 1 species
AAGUCGUAACAAGGUUUCCGUAGGUGAACCUGCGGAAGGAUCAUUACUGAGUUGAACUGGGUUGUUGCUGGCCUCCCGAGGCAUGUGCACGCCCUACUCAAUCCAUCUUACCCCUGUGCACUUCUGAAGGUUGCUAGUCUCCCUCUGUAACGGAGGAGCAGCGGUUCACACUGCUGAGGCUGCACCUUCCUUUACACAAACUCUAUAAAGUAACAGAAUGUCAUCUUGCUAUAAUGCAAACUAAAUACAACUUUCAACAACGGAUCUCUUGGCUCUC